GUGCUCACUUCGGCAGCACAUAUACUAAAAUUGGAACGAUGCAGAGAAGAUUAGCAUGGCCCCUGUACAAGGAUGACAUGUAAAUAUCAUCAUGAAGCAGUCCGUAUUUUU
rnacentral:snRNA from 1 species